rnacentral:lncRNA from 1 species
GUUGCGGGCUCGGCUGCUCAUCCUAACAUCGCUAGUUCGGAUCCCGGCCACGGCGGUCGCAUUUUGAAGGAGGCGAAAUGCUUGAGGCCCGUGUACGUAGAUUUACGUGGACGUUAAAGAACCCCGGGUGGUCGAAAUUUCCGGAGCCCUC